UACGGGGGGGAGCAAGCGUUGUUCGGAUUUACUGGGCGUAAAGGGCGCGUAGGCGGUCAGCACAAGUCAGUUGUGAAAUCUCCGGGCUUAACUCGGAAAGGUCAACUGAUACUGUGCGACUAGAGUGCGGAAGGGGCAACUGGAAUUCUCGGUGUAGCGGUGAAAUGCGUAGAUAUCAGGAGGAAUACCGAUGGCGAAGGCAGGUCUCUGGGCUGACACUGACGCUCAUGCACGAAAGCGUGGGGGAGCAAACAGG
rnacentral:rRNA from 1 species